GCUUGCUUUGCUUAUAGGGAGGUCUGCUCUAUUUAUAGUCGUGGAUUCUUCCCGUUCUUCUAAUUUGCUUUGUUUGCUUUAUCCAGGUAGCAUUGGAUGCAUACAAGUGGACGGUGGAUGGAGGCUGAUCUUCUAUCGACAAAAAAGCAGAGGACAGGUGGCAGCAGAUUGAAGAAGGAAUCUGCUUUAUACUAUUUGGGAUUUGUUUUUUAUGUCGGCACGGGUACAGCUGGAUGUUGGUGAGGGAUGAGCUGGAACUUUUACUGUUCAGGUGUCAUUUUAGGAAUCUUAUUGUAGCACUUUUGCUUUUUGUUGAUGUCUUAUUUUGUCGUUGUUUUGCUGAAGAUGCUUUUAUCAUGGCAGACAACUGGAAUAUCUUGAUAUAACAGGUACUGAUAUUUUGGAUUUUCGGGUCUUCAUCCGGGCAGGGCUUUAAUAUAGAGUUUGUUUCUGUGACAUAUCAUGAGCUGUCGGUUCUUCUGUCAUUUCAAUUUCUGGAUCCUCUUCUUCAUUAUGAAUUGUCCCUGUUGCUGCUUCUUCUUGAAAUAUUUUUAAUAGCUGUCUUUCGAGCUCAUCUUUGGUGGCUUGAGGGUUUUUCUUGCGCAUGAGAUCAAUAUAUUUUGCAAGGUUAUCUGGUUUUCAUAUGAAUAUGAUCCAUAUGCAGUAGGAACUCUUUUCAUUUUUAUUUGAUCAGGCUCAACAUUAUUAUAAACAAAUAUAUCCCAAAAUUUAACAGAAAUUUGAUUGCCAAUUGUAGGAAUAUAUUCAUAAGUAUUGGUCCUAUUUGCUGAUAUUGCAAAAUGCCACUUGAGUAUCCAGGGGAUUUGAUACAGAGCUAUGAAAUAGAGGUGGUAGUCAAUAUUGGGAUCAUGACCAUUGAACUU
rnacentral:lncRNA from 1 species